AAAGAUCCGUCGGAUGAGGAUAGGCUCGCGUGACAUUAGCUAGACGGCGGGGUAACGGCCCACCGUGGCGACGAUGUCUAGGGGUUCUGAGAGGAAGGUCCCCCACACUGGAACUGAGACACGGUCCAGACUCCUACGGGAGGCAGCAGUGAGGAAUAUUGGUCAAUGGCCGGAAGGCUGAACCAGCCAUGCCGCGUGAAGGUCAGUGCCCUAUGGGCGUUAAACUUCUUUUGUGCGGGAGCAAUAAGGGCCACGCGUGGCCUGACGAGAGUACCGUACGAAUAAGCAUCGGCUAACUCCGUGCCAGCAGCCGCGGUAAUACGGGGGAUGCAAGCGUUAUCCGGAUUUAUUGGGUUUAAAGGGUGCGUAGGCUGUGAGGUAAGUCAGCGGUGAAAUGCCCCCGCUCAACGGGGUGAAGUGCCAUUGAUACUGCCUUGCUGGAAUGCGGAUGCCGUGGGAGGAAUGUGUGGUGUAGCGGUGAAAUGCAUAGAUAUCACACAGAACACCGAUUGCGAAGGCAUCUCACGAAUCCGCGAUUGACGCUGAUGCACGAAAGCGUGGGUAUCAAACAGGAUUAGAUACCCUGGUAGUCCACGCUGUAAACGAUGAUGACUAACCGUCGGCGAUACACAGUCG
rnacentral:rRNA from 1 species